GACACAGGAUUAUGACCUGUGAAUCAAAGACAAACGCUCACCAAAAUAAUCAACCCUCCCAGGAGCCUUGUACAGCCCAGGAGGAAGAUGCGGAUCCUUAACUCAGUCUGCAACCAGAAUCUUGACAGUCCUGAAAAUGGAAAAGCGUCUGGAGUUUUGGGUACUCCCAAUGCCCCAAUUAUCCUUUUAUUACCCUGAUUUACAACAUAACUUCAUAGGAGACGUUCUGAUGAGCAAAAUGACUUGGGUAACAAAAUGAUCUGGCAAAACCAGCAACUAAGAAAGAAAAAGAAUGGAUUUUCCAGUCUCUUUGACCCCUGAGAUCUCAAAGCCCCUGUGAAGAUCGAUCAGUUGGCAUGGCUGGAUUCAGACUUCCCAGGCCAAGAGGACUUGAAGAAAUGAUCAGAUGAAUCUCAGAAACUCAGAGUUUGAAUAAUAGUUGUCGGUUAUUGCACACUUGCUGUGUGCCAGGCAUGGUGCUCACUGCUGCCCAUGGAUCAUUUCACCUAAUUUCAUCUACCAGCCUGAUAUCUGCACAUGUGAGAACCUGAGACGUAGGGAGUUUGCACGGCUUUAGCUUUCGCAGAAGGAGUAACACAGGGUCAUACCAACUUACUCCAGUUACCAAUUCUGUGACCUCAGGGCUGUUUGUUGUCCAAAAAGCCUUUUUCCCUAAGCUUGAAAGCUUAACUUCUCAGAAGCAGGAAGCUGCCUUUUGCCAAGAGUAAAUGGGUGAGAAGUCCAAAGGUCUUGGUUUUGAAGUAUGUGCAACGAAUGUUCAAACAGGUUCUGAACAGAGCCAAAUCUACUUUUCUAUCUCCAAGAAAUCUCGAGAGAGCCAUGGGGCGGAAGUUUCAAGGAACAACGUCUCGUCCCAAACCGCAUGAAAUUGCAUUCCAAUCAGAAGCAUGGCCAAACCCACCAGAACGCAAAACGCAGGGAUGGAAGGACACUGACGACGAUGACCUUGUGAAAUGAGAGAAUUGUCUUGAAAGGGAGCGUUGUUACGGAAGAUGCUGAUUUCGGCAUUCCCUGUCUGAAGUGCUAACUAACCUCAUUGGGUUUUUGCUCUGCACCAGGUACUGAUAUCUAUACUUUUCCUGUGUAUUCACUUACUUGAUACCUGAUGGAGGAGGUAUUUUUCAGAGGAGAAAACUGAGUCAUGGACAAAGUCAGUGACGUGCCCGAGAUCGUUCAUCUAAGAUGUUGCAGAGCUGGGACUUGAACCUAGUUUGUCUGCCUCUGGGAUCUGAGCUGGUAAACAUCACAUGGCACUUUGUGGCUCGUUUGUGACUGGUCCGUCCAUUGGUGGAAAAUGGUUAGAAGUCCUACUCUGUGCCCCUCUGUGUGCCAGUACUUGGAGAUACUUCCUCCAGAUACUUCCCCAUGAAACUUAAUCUGGUGGUGGAAGACAAACAUAAAACAAAUAAUUGAUUUGAGCUCUGAGAAGUGCCACAAAGGCAACGCACAGGUAUAAUGAUGGGGGAGGGAGGGGUGGCACUUGGUCUGGGAAGUAGGGGAAAACUGUCUCUGUAAGGGACAUUUUAUCUCAGACCGGAAGACUGUUGUUAUGGGUUCAAUUCCAUCCUCUUCUCCCCAGCAUUCAUUUGUCAAAGUCCUAGCCCCUAGACCUCAGAAUGUGACCUUAUUUGGAAAUAGUGUUGUUGCUGAUGUAAUUAGUUAAGAUGAGGUUAGAGUAGAGUAGGAUGGGCCCCUGCUAUAAUAUGACUGGUAUCUUUAUAAAAAGGGGAAAUUUAGAGACAGACACACACACACAGGGAGAAGGACAUGAGAACAGGAGGCAGAGAUGAGGCUGGUAUUUCCACAAGCCAAGGAGUGCCAAAAACUGCCAGCAAAUCACCUUCAAAAGGAGCAUGACAUCUUGAUCUUGGACUUUCACAUUCCAGAACUGUGUUUUUAUCCACUCCCAUUGUGGUACCUUGUCAUGGCAGCCCUAGCAAACGAAUGCAGAGGGGAAGGUGCCAGUCAGGUGAGGAGGGAGUGGAGAGUAGGAGAGAGGGAAAAAGAAACAAAACCCAGGAAGAAGAGCUAGCAUGUGCAAAAUCCCCAACGGAGGAAGGAGCGUGACACAUUUGGGAAGGUGGAACCAGGGAGAGGGGAGGGUGGAAGAUGAAGCAGGUGGAACCAGAUUCUGGCGUCUCUAAUACACAACGUGGCAUUUCUAUGAAGGACGAUGUGAAACCAGUGAAGGGUUUUAACCAAGGGGCAACCAUAAUUGGAUCUGAAUUUUAAUAUCAUUGUUCUGUUGCUGUGUGGAAACUGAAUUUUGGGGGUGGUAGGAAAGAAUAAAUGUAGAACAGUUUAGAACCUAUUGUGUUUGUGCCCAGGAGUUUCAGCCGAAUUCUUCAGAUUGGUUAUUCUUCCAAACAGGCCAUUUUCCUCAAGCCAUUUCCCUACUCAGUACUCAGACACAUUCAUUGUUUACAGUGUACCAGGCUCUGAAACUGUGCUAUCCAAUAUGGUAGCCACUGGCCACGUGUGGCUCAUUUAAAUUAAAAUUAAAGACCAGUUGCUCUGUCUCACUGAGACGUGCCUAUGUGCUCCCUAGCCACAUCAUUCACUGAAAGUUCUGUUAGACAGCUCUGGUCUAGGGAAACACAGAGGAACAGGGCAUCAUCCCGUCCUUGUUUUUAGAGCAGUGAAAGAACUCGAGACAACUGGAUUUCGUAGACCAGCAAGAACUUUUUUUGUUUUUAAGUAUACUUUAAGUUUU
rnacentral:lncRNA from 1 species